rnacentral:lncRNA from 1 species
AGGAGACUCAGGGCUGAGGUGGCAGGGCCUAGAGAGCUGGAGGCUGCUCCCCAGGGAGGGUUCUGCUGGUGGGGGGCUGCAUGGAACCCCAACAGUAGGUGAGGAUUGGGAGGGGCCACGUGGAGGCAACAAACGUAGUCUAUUAAGGGGAACCAAGAGGGGGCAGCUGUGAGGAUAUGGGGGCCUCGGUUUUGAGAGGCUUGGGGUGUCCCCUGGGGCAGGAACACUAUCAUAAGUCAGCAGAGCACAGUCCCUCCCAAGAGCUGAUCCCUGGAGCCCGACAAAGGAGCCCACACUGGACGCUUGCCAUGGCCUAGAGCUCCGAGAGCCACAUGAGAACUACCAAGAACACCCAGCAGUAGAAGGACUUUGCUGCGUUCUGCUGGCUCCUUCUCCCCCGACCCUGACCCUGGAAGGCUCAGACAGAAGAGGACUGGAGGAGAGGGUGGGGAGGGCAGGCACACCCUCUCCCAGGGCGGGUUGAGCUGAGGCACAGGCUUGAGGUGGCAGUUGGAUAUUGCAGUGGCCUGGGUCCCUUCAUCCUGGGAAGGAGUCAGUAUUCUCUCCUUGAGGCUGUGAUGCUGGAUGACCAGAAGGCUGUGGCCGUGCCCAGAGGAGUCAUCCAGGGAGGCAGGGAAGGGGGCGCCCCAGAGUGGGGCUGGGAAUGAGAACAGCCAACUCCUGACUCCUCCCUCGGGGCUCACCCGUCCCACACACUGGUUACAAAUGUAAGGGUCGGGUUGCCUCGGAGGCCCUUACCACCCCACCCCAGGGGGCUCUCCUCUCGCACUUCAGGGUCCCAGAAAUCCCAAGCAAGUGGCCUUUAUUAUUACUAUAAUUACUAUAUUACUACUUGAAAAUGCAGGUCACUCUGAAGCGCACCUUGGGCUUUCUCGUGAGAAGGGGUGCCCAGUGCUGUCCUGAAAGUGAGGGAGGCUCAGGACGGGUGAGAAGAACCGCAGUGCUGAAUGGGAGGCCAAGAACAGCUGCACGUGCCGGAGCUGACCUCACCCCACCCAUUUGCCUGGAGCUGGCCCCCAUGAACCUUUGGAAAGUCUGUGCGGGUCUGUUUGGUUCUUAAAAAUCACACAUCACUCCUGUUUUCUAUGUUCCCAC